ACAACGGUUUUACUAAAAACCAUUGUCUUUACAAAUAAAAAACGACG
rnacentral:ncRNA from 1 species